AUGUCCGCACCCAGUCUGAUAACAUUCAGUAUUCACGGUAACAUUGCAUACAUUAAUUAUCAAUUUUCAUUUUUCACACUUCCCGUGUUAUUACUGUUCGUACCAGUUUUGUAUAUUCCCGCCACGUGUGUUAUUGUGUUCCGGAUAUGUUCAACAUUAUUGAUAGAAUACAAAAAUAAAAACGUCAAUAUUCAAUUGUUUGGAGUUAUCACGUUAUCGCAUGUUAUGUGUCUUCUCUUCUUCACGACUGAACUUUUCUACCUCCGUCUUCCGAUGGCCGGAGUUUUCACAAGCUGGUGUGCCAGUGUAUUGCCAAAUGGUUAUUUGAUUAGUCUUGUUAUUAUGACCUAUUAUUUCAAUUAUGCAACUAUGGCCUUCCCGUUUUUGGUGGCUCUCCUCAGGUUGAAUUUGAUAAUUUUCCCGUCGACUCAUGCAAAGGUCAAUAAAGGAAUACUGAAAAUCGCAAUUCCAUUAAUUUUCACUUACCCCUUUAUCUUCACUUUCUUCUUAUUUCCCGGCUCCGGGUUCUGCACGAAAAUCGAAUUUCUACCGUUUGGAUCUAUUAUUCUUCGUGUCACAGAUACUUUAUUCGGGAUCAACAACACAAUCCCGCUGAUUUUCACCACUUUUUUCUGGUUUUCAGCCUGUUUGAUAACUAAUUUUGUGCUGAUUUUCAAACUGAUUAGACAUAGAUUCACAGUUGAUUUGAGCAUGAGAUCUCAGAAAUCACAUAAAGCAGAGAUAUCGCUAACUCUGACAACGGUAUCCAUGACGUUCUCAUUUUUGACCAAUGGAAUGAUUGCAGUAGGUUUAGUGAAGAAUUUAGACACAGGGAGUGACGUCACACAACUCUAAAAUUUAGUUUCCCGCAAAUACUAUUUCUGGAAUUUUCUUCCCAAGCGUCGCUGUGUACCUUAUUGUGAUCCGGCCCUUUACAAAUGAUUUAGACACGUGUAUCGUUCCUUGGGUUUUCUACUUGACUCAUCCAAUUUUCCAAGAGAAGCCGAAAAAUCGAAUAAUCGUUUCCAGUGUUGAAAGAAUUCAUAAUUAA